rnacentral:rRNA from 1 species
GAUGAACGCUAGCGGCAGGCCUAAUACAUGCAAGUCGAGGGGUAGAGCUAGCUUGCUAGCUUGAGACCGGCGCACGGGUGCGUAACGCGUAUGCAACCUACCCUUUUCUGGGGGAUAGCCCGGAGAAAUCCGGAUUAAUACCGCAUAAGACCACGAUACGGCAUCGUGAUGUGGUCAAACAUUUAUGGGAGGAGGAUGGGCAUGCGUGCCAUUAGCUAGUUGGCGGGGUAACGGCCCACCAAGGCGACGAUGGCUAGGGGAUCUGAGAGGAUGGCCCCCCACACUGGUACUGAGACACGGACCAGACUCCUACGGGAGGCAGCAGUAAGGAAUAUUGGUCAAUGGGGGCAACCCUGAACCAGCCAUGCCGCGUGCAGGACGACGGCCCUCCGGGUUGUAAACUGCUUUUGUACGGGAAUAAACCCCGCUACGUGUAGCGGGCUGAAUGUACCGUAAGAAUAAGGAUCGGCUAACUCCGUGCCAGUCGCCGCAGUAA